UACGUAGGGGGCAAGCGUUGUCCGGAAUCAUUGGGCGUAAAGAGCGUGUAGGCGGCCAGAUAAGUCCGCUGUGAAAUCUCGAGGCUCAACUUCGAGCUGUCGGUGGAAACUGUCUGGCUAGAGUCCGGAAGAGGAGAAUGGAAUUCCUGGUGUAGCGGUGAAAUGCGCAGAUAUCAGGAAGAACACCCGUGGCUAAGGCGGCUCUCUAGUACGGUACUGACGCUGAGACGCGAAAGCGUGGGGAGCAAACAGG
rnacentral:rRNA from 1 species